UACAGAGACUGCAAGCGUUAUUCGGAUUCACUGGGCGUAAAGGGUGCGCAGGCGGCCGUGUGUGUUAGGCGUGAAAGCCCGAGGCUCAACCUCGGAAUUGCACCUAAAACUACACGGCUAGAGUACUGGAGAGGGUAGCGGAAUUCACGGUGUAGCAGUGAAAUGCGUAGAUAUCGUGAGGAACACCAAUGGCGAAGGCAGCUACCUGGACAGUUACUGACGCUCAGGCACGAAAGCGUGGGGAGCAAAAGGGAUUAGAUACC
rnacentral:rRNA from 1 species